GGCUCUCUCACGAUGGAAGAUAUUGACGAUAUAACAGCUACGCUACUGGAAUGGAGGUGUGUUCAUGGAACGAAGAUCUAAAACUAUAUUUGCAGCGAAAGCAUAAAGUUUUAAUCAAAGGAAGAAGUUAAAAUCUCGCUAAACAUUAGACAAAAACACAUUUUUGAAGCCAAUGAUGAUUGGAGAUUGACUUACCUAAGGGGGAAAGGCAGUACUUAAUAUGCAGUUUCCAAGUAAAAGUCGCCACAAGCUACACAAGUUUGAACGACCAAUUACAGGAUCACAAUAUCGCUUUACCUGCUCUUUGUUAAAUUAAUAAUGAGAUCGGGAAUGCGCAGAAAAUGGGAAUAAUGGCGACAAAAGAAAGACAUAACGGCAGUAAUGUUGAAUUGUCCGACUCAACUGAAAUAGAUAAAGAAACGGUAGAGAAUGAAAGGGAUACGGUAGAUAUUGAAAGGGAUAACCUUCAGAGUCAGAUAUCUAAUUAUAAAAUGAUUAUUGAGAAAGCCAAGAAAGCAAAGAAAUGGAUUGAUGAAGCCAAUGCUCAAAAUGAUUUAGGUAUGAUAUGCAUAAUUAAAAGCCAGUGUCUCGUUUAAGAAUUGAGGGAAUAAGGUUUCGUGUAAGAAUAAAUUCGAUUUAAGAUUAGAGCAUAAAAA